rnacentral:rRNA from 1 species
GUCCACGCCCUAAACGAUGUCAACUGGCUGUUGGGGGAGAAAUCUUUCAGUAGCGAAGCUAACGCGUGAAGUUGACCGCCUGGGGAGUACGGCCGCAAGGUUGAAACUCAAAGGAAUUGACGGGGGCCCGCACAAGCGGUGGAUGAUGUGGAUUAAUUCGAUGCAACGCGAAGAACCUUACCUGCUCUUGACAUGCCAGGAACCUUGGAGAGAUCUGAGGGUGCCCGAAAGGGAAUCUGGACACAGGUGCUGCAUGGCUGUCGU